GGAUUCGAAACUCAUAUUUGAUAUUUGAGGGAUUUUGGGCAUAUUCCAUGGACACCAAUGGUGGAUUAUGUAUGAGGGGGUCUGGAUGGUUAUGUCGUAUUGAUUUGGAGUGGAUUGUGACUGGUGCCGCCACAGGAGAAAGUUAGGGCAAUGCUAGGGUUUCUAAAAUUCGAGGCAUUCUGGUGGGAUUUGAGAGGAGGUGUUUGGAGAUUUGGGAUGUGGAGGUGGAGAAGAGUCGAAGGUGUAAUUUUGGAGGUGAUUGACCGCCGGCCGCCGCCGUGGGCAAUUUCUGAUGGGAGGCGGACAGUGGUGAAGGUUUGGGGCUCUGAUGGGUG
rnacentral:lncRNA from 1 species